CUCUAAUUAUCACCAGGCGAGUGCAAUCACUGCUAACCGUGGCCUGGGUUAUUUCAGAGGUUGCUGGGCACACAGUAGUUUUUGGGAGCCCCCAGCUCUGGUUGGUGCCUGUGCUGCUGAGCUGCAUCUGUGGCUGUGGAGGGCUCUGUAACAUAGCAGGGAGCUGUGUCCCAUGGAGAGAAGCCCAGCUUGAAGCAAGAGAAAAUGAGGAGCAAGCAGCUCCAGAGAGCAGAGCACCGUUUAUUUCCCCUCCUGCUUGGGGCACUUCAGUCUGACUUCUUCCCAAGCUAUGGAUGUGAGAAAAGAGACACUCUCCUUGCCCUGAUGGAACGGAGCCCUUCCCUGAGGACCCAAGUGCCUUUGAGGAGCUGGACCUUCAAACCCAAACACUGCAUCACCUGAGCCCCGACUCAGCACCCAGGGGGCUCAUUUGUUGAUAAUGCUGCCCCAUCGAUUUACUGGUGUUACAGGAGCUGAAUGAGGCCCAUUAUGCCCUACUCAAGUGACAGAAGAAACUGCAGCUAUAACUCAGAUUUCCCUGAGCCACUCUAGCUACUUAACUGGCCUGGCUUCCGGACACGUGUCUUCCUGCUCUCUCAGGGUGUUGGGAGUCAGCAGCACAUAAAGGUGCAAGGCUAUUUUCUCCAUAAAUGAGAACUACAGCUUGGAUCUGUAUGGGGAGUACAUAUUACAUAUCCGAGCAUAGAGAAACAUAACAGAGCACCCAUGAGAGCCGAGAAUGGCUUCAGAAAACAAUCUAUAAAUCUCUGGUGUUAUCUUUGUGACAGCCUCCUAAUCUCUGCAGGUUGUUGUUAAGAGCUGCAUUAAACUAGCCUGUCAUUGAUCCCAGCUCUCACUGCUUCUCCAAGAGAUGCACUUCCUGUGAUCAAUUAGGAAAAGAGACAACAGCGUCUUAAAAGCAUCUUUACAACAGGACCUUGCAAUAACAUAUCUUCCCAAAAUGUGUCUCUCUGACAUUUACAUCAUACUUUGUCAAAGUGCAGCCAGCAUCUGCACUAACAACAUUAUUUAGUCUUCUGAAAUAAGUGAAAACCUUAAGUUCCUCAUGUUGAAUCAUCAUUUUUGCCUCCAACUUCACCCCAAGUAAAAACAGUUAAGUUUAAAAAGUGCUUGCAAUUUCUUGCUAUUUAAUUAAUUUUGAGUCAGGCUUAGAUUAGCUCUGGAUAGUAACUACCUUACUCUCAAUGCCUUCUUAGGGGGAAACAGGCUGUGAACCUGGCUCCUUGUUAAAACUUUGAGGCCUGCUUAUUCCCCCACUGUGGCACAGAAACUCGGUACUAGUAAGGAAAAUACUAAAAAAAAAAAAAAAAAAAAAAAAAAAAAAAAGUAUAUGGCUAUUAGAAAUAAGGGCUUGGCCAUUGGAUUUCUACUAUGUUUUAAAUUGUGUUUCCCCUGACUUGUGCACUAGGUAGAAAAGGUAAAGGUCAUUUUUACCCCCAUUCUAGCCAAAGUAAAGUCCCUUUGUGUUGAUGAACUUAUUUUAAUGUUGUCUUUAAGAGCUUACUGUCCAAGUAUCAGAAAAUGAUUGGCUCCCUGGUUUCUACAAAGCCUGAAUACAGGGUAGACCAAAGCAUGAAGAGAAGGACAAGUAAUGCUGUAUCCUGGUAUGGUGGAUUUUAUAUUGACUAUUUAAUUCCAGAAUAACUUGUGCCACACAUAUCAAGACUGGGUUUUCAUAUGCCACUCCUCCUGCAUGUAUUUUUAACAUGUUUUUAAGCCUAAAAUUAAGAAGAGAUUGGCCUUUCAACUACUGUACUUUUUUAGUACUUGGAGCAGUCUGUCACCUCAACAAGGGAAUAGAGUGGAAGAGGAAGAUAAUUAUCUUUUGAAUUUAGAAUACACAUUCUCUAUAUUUUCUGGACUAUAGCAAGAUGGAGUAGCACAAAUGCUGCUGGACUAGUUUUCCAUUUCACAUCUUUGCAGCCACUGACAAAGAAAGCUAAUUGUGUGUCUUGGCCUUCAGGAAUUCUAACAUGAGAUGUUCUAAAAUCACAGCAAAGGAUGGCUUUGUUUCUGUGUGCACUUGCAACACUCCAUGUAAUUAGCAGGCUGAGCAGGAGAGCUGAAUUUAGCUCACUAGCUCUUAAAUGGAGUUACUUUCAUUUGUUUACUGAAUGUCUCUACCCACUAAAGGCUAAUGAACUGGUAAUGGAUCUGUCAGAAAACGGAAAAGACAAAUACCUCUAAAUGUUGCUAUUGUAGCCCAAGAAUGUGGCUAUUAUUGCUCCUCUAACUCAUGAUCUUAAUAAGAAGGAAGGUGGUGGGAGGUUUGGUAUUCAAUGGGUGUAAGGAAGCACAAAUAUAAUUUAUGUACUGAUGGAGUGGAAGGGAGGAGAGGAACAACCCUCAGGAAACAGUAAAAUAAGCAAACAUAUUGUUCCUGCAUAUAUCCAUGAUGGCUUUCCCAUCUACACCCCCGUGCUCCUGUGUAAAGUAUAUUCAUCUUCCCAAUUUUUAUUUGUGCUAGAUAAAACCUUAAGAAGUGAAGCACUGCUUGAAGUUCAUCUGCUAAAAGAAAGGGCAGGUCAGGUUAUCAGCUUCAGGUGUGAUGGGGAAAUGCAGUGGUCAGAGUAAUGCCCAUAUAAUAAAUUUAGGCUGAUUUAAAAAAAGACAUUUCUCUCUAAAAAAUGUGAAGAAAGCACAUGGGCACCACUUGCCUGAAAAUUACUGUGUUUUGUAGCUUCAAGCGUUUUUUUAUGACUUAAAAUUCCAGUCUUCUAAAUCUGCAUUGCUCAAUUUGGCCCAAAAUAUUCUCUGAAUGAAGACACUAAGAAAGCUCUGGGCAGGCUGUCUUUGCAGUUGAGUAGAUGUAAUAUUAAGUCUAAUCACUGAGACAUCAAAACUUCUAUGCAUAAGAUUGCUAUGCUAGUGCAAGCAGACCAAUGUUUAUGUAUUGAGUAAACAACACAAGUAAUGCUUUAACAAUAAAAUGAAAGAAUUUCUGCUUUUAAGCAAUUAUAAUUAAAUUUCAUAACAUUCAGAUAUCGGAAGGGUUCUUCUGUCUGAUUUUUAACAACUCUGACUUUUGGAAGAAAAAUAUGUCCAUAUGUCAAACUUUUCUUUAUGUAGUACAGUUUCAGGGGUUUGGGUUUUUUCCCUGUAGUCUGUUGUCACUCCUUCUACAUAGUUAUAUAGCUUAAUUUUUGUCUUCAGUCUCCUCUGGUGGUGUUAUUCUCCUCUUGUUAAAAUUUUAUGAGAGGACUGUAUUUAUGACUCAUGUUACAUUUUAUCUGGUGUUAUUUCAUUCCUUCUGCAUCUGGAGGCUGGGACAGGUUGAGACUGUACCUUGUGUCAGGGUUUGACUCUGGACAAGUGGAGGAAGCAGAAGAGAAUCCUGACUCUCAGCUCAGACCAUUCCCUACAAUCAGAGUUGUUUCUUUGCUCUUACCUAGCAAAAGCAGUUUAAAUUUUGAAAUUAUUCAUGAAAAUAUUCACAGGAAUAGAUUGGUUCCAUCUUGCUGCUGUUUGGUGAAGCAAGGGCACAGAGUUGCAGCAUCUGCAUUAAUUCUUUAUUCCUCUCCAACAGCAGAUAUUUCUGCUGACCAUCUGAAGACAGUUUCCAGGUUUCUUACCUAUGUUCAGGGUAAUAGAUGAUAUGGUUAUGGGAUGUAGAUUAGUACAACAGUUUUUAGGGGCAGGGACAGUUGCAGCCUAAAUUUUUGUAAAUAAAGGGUGAGUAACCUAAUCAGUUUUCAGCUGUGGCAUGCCCAUUAGAAAAAUUUCAAACAAAGAUUUAUUGACUCAAGAAGAGGUAGACUUACUUUCCUUCUGGGGGACUGGGGGAACCCAACAAGCCAAAGAAAAUUUAUUUUCUGUUGAAAUCAAGCUAUUGGAAGGAGAGUCACUCCUGAAGAACAUAUGGUUGAAGGGAAAAAAUAUGCUAUUUCUCCUUUUUCAGAAAACACAAAUAAGCCUUAUGCAACUAUGAUUGCUCUUCAUUCAAAUAUGUGCCCUGACUGUUUAAGAAUCAGGAUGGUAUCUAGGUGCUGUUGUGAAAACAAAAUGUAUUUUAGCUCCUCAGCAGACUGUCAUGACUCAUACAAAAAUCAGUCCAGUAUUUUCUGUAACAACUUUGUAGCAUUUCUUAAAAGUUGUUUUAGUAGUAGUCUUUUCUGAAGUCCUUGUUAUUUUUAACAUAAUAGGGGUAGGUUUGACAGGAAUUAAGUGGUGUUACACAUCCCUGUGAGGUGUCUCCCAAACACUGAGUGCUCUGGUCCUGGCACAGGGAGGUGUAACCCCCAGCUCGUGAGAAAUGUUAACACAGUACUGAUACAGCCUGCCAAUACUGACACAGCACUGCACACGCCUUUGUCAAGGAAUUUUGUGCCUCCAUAACAUUCUCCCACAGGACUGUGGCACCUCUGGGCUCCUGGGGGCUACAGUGUCACCUUCUCCUGGCUCCUGGUUGCACACUGUCCCUAAACCAACCAAACACAGCUGCUAAUUUGGAGAGGCCAUGUUAGGAAAUAUUAAUACCUUUGACAGUUUACUGCUUUUGGAAAAACCACCUAACUUUCAUUGUGCCUUUCAUUUCUUCCCCUCUGCCAUCUGUUCCUGCUGAAAACAAGGUGGAUGCUGUGAUGAGUCAAAUGCAAUCCAUGCACCAGUGGGACAGACAGCAGACCCCCACCCCAAAUUUGACUUAGAAUGUUAUGAUGAGUCCUAGCCUCAGCCUGACCUUGACCAAAUCUUCCUUUCAUCUGAAAGUAACGUGGGAAAAGGGUUUCCUGCAAUCUAAAAAAAUGUCUUUACAGUAUGUGACUUGUUUUUUGUUCAGAUUUUAGUAACAUAUUGUUCUGUGUAUAUAAAGGAUCCAAGCUGUUUAAAAGUAGAGAUGAAUAAUGUUUAAGAAUGUAUACUAUAAAAGACCAAUGUGCCUUAUUAGAUCAACAUAGAUGACCAAAGACAGAUUCUGUCUCUACAGUAACAUGGAACUUGUCAGUAGAUGUCACUCCUUUUUGUAGACAUUGAUUGUAAAAUUAAAAAUUAAACUGCAGUAAUACAUCUAAUUUUACAUGCAUGCAAAUUCCUUGUUAGACUAUUUAGCAUGCAUGUCUUAUUUAACAUAUAACAUUACAUUUUAAAAUAAAUGAAAUUGUAUAUACAGUA